AUGUUCACUGUUAUAUUCAUGUGUCUGUGGCUUUCACUCGGUGACUCCAUGGCAGAUUCAAUCGAGCCACGUUUCAUUCGUACAAUGAUAGAUGAAGGCAGUGAUGUUACUCUGUCCUGCAGCUACAAAAAAUUCAGUGGCACAGUGACCAACCUGUACUGGUACAGACAAUAUCCAAACUCUAAACCUGAGUUCCUUCUGUAUAUCUUACCAAGUGGACUCCAAAGUGACUCUAACUUACCACGUCUCUCUGCUGAAGUUGAUGAAAAGAAUAACCAAGUGGAUCUGCUCAUCUCCUCUGCUGCUGUAUCAGACUCUGCACUAUACUACUGUGCUCUG